AGAUUGAACGCUGGCGGCGUGCCUAACACAUGCAAGUCGAGCGGUAACAGGUGUAGCAAUACAUGCUGACGAGCGGCGAACGGGUGAGUAAUGCUUUGGAAUCUUCCCAGUAGUGGGGAAUAACCAGUCGAAAGAUUGGCUAAUACCGCAUACGUCUGUAAAGGGAAAGCGGGGGCUCGUAAGACCUCGCGCUAUUGGAUGAGCCAAAGUCGGAUUAGCUAGUUGGUGGGGUAAUGGCCUACCAAGGCGACAAUCCGUAGCUGGUCUGAGAGGACGACCAGCCACACCGGAACUGAGACACGGUCCGGACUCCUACGGGAGGCAGCAGUGGGGAAUAUUGGACAAUGGGGGAAACCCUGAUCCAGCGACGCCGCGUGUGUGAAGAAGGCCUGCGGGUUGUAAAGCACUUUUAGUGGGGACAAAAGCUACGGACUAAUAUUCUGUGGUCUUGAUUUAACCCAAAGAAAGCACCGGCUAACUCUGUGCCAGCAGCCGC
rnacentral:rRNA from 1 species